UGCACGACGCUCUUUUAUAGCCAACACUGUUAUCAUAAGUCGACUUUGUAUUAGUGGCGCGAUCAAGAGAAUGAGCGAGAGAGCUGUGCAAAUGUUUGCUGCAGUCCCUUAUCAAAGUGUCCUAGGAUUUACGGUUUGGCGUCUAUAUUAUUUUAAGCACUGCAAAUGUCUUAGAUUAAUUAUUUUGAUUACCUCUUGCUAUCGUUUAUAUGUAUUUGUUGACUCAUAAAUUGCCAAUGGAACGGACUCGCAGCAGCACGUCUAUUGACGAUUAACAACUUGGCUAUUAAUUAGACGCGAGAGGCUCUUUUAUAUAUAGUUAAACACUGUUAUCAAAAUUCGAGUUUGUAUUAGUGGCGCGAUCAAGAGAAAGAUCAAGAGAGCCGUGGCGAACUUAACGCAGCAAAUGUUCGAUUCAGUCAUCACUAUUAUGAGUUUUUGGGGUAUCCCUUAUCUGUAUCCUAGGAUUAUGAUUCAGUUUUGCGUCAAUGGAAUAUCACAUUGUAAAUGUCUUAAACGAAUUAUGGUAUUUACCUCUUGGUAUCAAAGAUGUAUGUACAUAUGUAUGUAUAUCAUCUCGCAAAUAAAUUACCAAAACAUAAACGCAAAAAUUUCACAAGAAAAAAUAAAUAAAAAAUGAAGGACCAACUUGAGUGCAAAUCAAUAAACAAUUAUUGUGCCAAUUU